GAAACUGAGAAGUGAGAACAUCAUCCAUUAUCCAUUUUUGCAGGUUCUGAAAAGUACAGAGACGCGCAGCCUCUCUGCUUCAGCCCGCUCGAAGAUUCGACUCUCCGAAACCGUCCGUACGCUCCCCCUCCUCUUUCCCCUAUUUUCUUGAUGCCUUCGCUUCCAUCAGGAUCAGUUUCGUCUUGAACCUGCCGCAACGGGACGCCGUUGGACGACGGAAGCGAACCCGGCUGUCGCGCGAUCGUGCGUCGCUGCUCCGAUCGAACGAUUUUCCCCGUCUCUGCAUUGAUGCUUUUUCGCUUGCGCCGCCUCCUCCUCCGCGAUGAGCAAUUUCCGUGCCGACUGAGCGGACUUUCGGGGGCUUUCAGCUUCACUUCCCGGGCCGCGCUGAAAGAUGUUAGCUCCGGAUAAGAUAAAUGAGCACUUCGGUUGUUGCGACUCGCGGCCUCAUCUUCUUCGGCGCCAACGCCCCCAGUCUUAGCCCGUUGCGCCCUGUGAAGUUCUCUGCCAAGCCACUCUGCGCGAGGGCGCGGUUCGAUGUACUGAUUCCCAAUUCGAAGGGGAAGGGCCGCCACCGCAGGCGGACGAGCUGGUGGAAGAGGUUCUUCCUCGAGGACGAUGGGAAUUGGUUGGGGCUGAAGGACGACGACAUGCUCGAGGACGAAGUUGAAGUGGAGCAUUCGAGCGGCAAGAAGUUGCAGGACGGGGACAAGUUUGAGGCUUGGAAGAGGAGAGCGGAGGCCAUUGUGGAGCUGAGGGAAGCGCAGCAGGACUCGAGGAACGAGGAGUCUCGGAUGUGGGAGGACUGGCUUGUCGAAGAUGGCGCGGCCUCUUGGGAUGAUGGGAAUGGUGGAGCCGGGAAUUCGGGGGAAGGGUUGGUGUUGGAUUCUGGUGAAAGAGGUAUUGUUGAAUCAGUGAGUGACAUGAUUUUAGGAAGAGAAGAUGAAGAUACGCUGUAUGAGGAUCGCGUCUUUCGGUAUGCCUCGCAGAAUUCGGCUAAGUUUCUGGUGAUACUAAUAACAAUACCGUGGGCCUUGGACUUCAUUGUUCAUGACUAUGUUCUCAUGCCUUUUCUGGACAGGUACGUAAAAACUGUUCCACUUGCAGCCCAGAUGCUUGAUGUGAGAAGGCACCAAAAACUUGAAAUGGUUAAAGAAUUGAAAGUUGAAAAGGCAAGAUAUAGGUUUGAGGAAGAGAUUGGUAAAUCUCCACCACUAUCCGACGAAGAGGUCUGGUUGGAAUUACGCCAUAAAGCCUUGGAGUUGCGAGAUGAGUGGAGACUAGAAAACCGCAGAACAUUUGCCAACAUAUGGUCAGAUAUGGUAUUUGGGAUUUCACUCUUUCUGAUUUUGUACUUCAAUCAAAGUAAGGUAGCAUUGCUGAAAUUUACAGGUUACAAAAUUAUAAAUAACAUUUCGGAUACUGGGAAGGCAUUUCUUAUUAUUCUCAUCACAGAUAUUUUUUUAGGGUAUCAUUCCGAAUCUGGUUGGCAGACUUUGAUAGAAGUAAUUGUUGAGCAUUAUGGACUGGAAGUUGAUCAGUCUGCUAUUACUAUUUUCAUAUGCCUGAUUCCAGUUGUCACUGAUGCUUGUGUGAAGCUUUGGUUAUUCAAGUUCCUCCCUAGAUUGUCACCGAAGGUAUCAAACAUUUUCCAGGAAAUGAAGCGACAUUGAUGGAGUUAUCUAUCGGGAUAUCUGAUGCUGGUCUGAGAAAAUUUAGCAGCCCUCGUCUCCAUUACUACAUUCUUUUUCCCUCCACAGUUUUGCUGAACCAUUCUAGUGCAGGAGUCAGGUUCAAAUUACUGACUCUUCUUUUUCCCGUUACUGUAUGAGAAUACGAAUUGUUCAGAAAAUGCUUCAGAAAAAGUUCAGCGAAUUGGACGAAGUUCUGAAUCCUCAGACUACAAUGGCAGAUGAGAUGAAUGCUUCAGCAACUCGAGGUCCCACGGCGGUUAGUUUCUGCAUCUAUAACUUCCGGAUAGUCCUAGCAAUGUGGAGAGAUUUGUAAGGAGUGAAGUCAGUGGAUGCCAACUUUACGUUCGACUAGGUUCGUUCUGAUUAUUCAUCUUCAACUUUCAAUUCUACAUAAUUUACCA